GCCCUGUUAGCUCAGUCGGUCUCAGAGCGUCUGACUUUUAAUCAGAAGGCCACGGGUUCGAGCCCCGUACAGGGCU
rnacentral:tRNA from 1 species